rnacentral:rRNA from 1 species
CACAAGCGGUGGAUGAUGUGGUUUAAUUCGAUGCAACGCGAAAACCUUACCACCUUUGACAUGGCAGGAAUCCCGAAGAGAUUUGGGAGUGCUCGAAAGAGAACCUGCACACAGGUGCUGCAUGGCUGUCGUCAGCUCGUGUCGUGAGAUGUUGGGUUAAGUCCCGCAACGAGCGCAACCCUUGCCACUAGUUGCUACGAAAGGGCACUCUAAUGGGACUGCCGGUGACAAACCGGAGGAAGGUGGGGAUGACGUCAAGUCCUCAUGGCCCUUAUAGGUGGGGCUACACACGUCAUACAAUGGCCGGUACAGAGGGUAGCCAACCCGCGAGGGGGGAGCCAAUCCCACAAAGCCGGUCGUAGUCCGGAUCGCAGUCUGCAACUCGACUGCGUGAAGUCGGAGUCGCUAGUAAUCGCAGAUCAGCAACGCUGCGGUGAAUACGUUCCCGGGCCUU